GACGAGCGCUGGCGGCGUGCUUAACACAUGCAAGUCGAACGGAAAGGCCCUGCUUUUGUGGGGUGCUCGAGUGGCGAACGGGUGAGUAACACGUGAGUAACCUGCCCUUGACUUUGGGAUAACUUCAGGAAACUGGGGCUAAUACCGGAUAGGAGCUCCUGCUGCAUGGUGGGGGUUGGAAAGUUUCGGCGGUUGGGGACGGACUCGCGGCUUAUCAGCUUGUUGGUGGGGUAGUGGCUUACCAAGGCUUUGACGGGUAGCCGGCCUGAGAGGGUGACCGGCCACAUUGGGACUGAGAUACGGCCCAGACUCCUACGGGAGGCAGCAGUGGGGAAUAUUGCACAAUGGGCGGAAGCCUGAUGCAGCAACGCCGCGUGCGGGAUGACGGCCUUCGGGUUGUAAACCGCUUUCGCCUGUGACGAAGCGUGAGUGACGGUAAUGGGUAAAGAAGCACCGGCUAACUACGUGCCAGCAGCCGCGGUGAUACGUAGGGUGCGAGCGUUGUCCGGAUUUAUUGGGCGUAAAGGGCUCGUAGGUGGUUGAUCGCGUCGGAAGUGUAAUCUUGGGGCUUAACCCUGAGCGUGCUUUCGAUACGGGUUGACUUGAGGAAGGUAGGGGAGAAUGGAAUUCCUGGUGGAGCGGUGGAAUGCGCAGAUAUCAGGAGGAACACCAGUGGCGAAGGCGGUUCUCUGGGCCUUUCCUGACGCUGAGGAGCGAAAGCGUGGGGAGCGAACAGGCUUAGAUACCCUGGUAGUCCACGCUGUAAACGGUGGGUACUAGGUGUGGGGUCCAUUCCACGGGUUCCGUGCCGUAGCUAACGCUUUAAGUACCCCGCCUGGGGAGUACGGCCGCAAGGCUAAAACUCAAAGGAAUCGACGGGGCCCCGCACAAGCGGCGGAGCAUGCGGAUUAAUUCGAUGCAACGCGUAGAACCUUACCUGGGUUUGACAUGGAUCGGGAGCGCUCAGAGAUGGGUGUGCCUCUUUUGGGGUCGGUUCACAGGUGGUGCAUGGCUGUCGUCAGCUCGUGUCGUGAGAUGUUGGGUUAAGUCCCGCAACGAGCGCAACCCUUGUUCACUGUUGCCAGCACGUUAUGGUGGGGACUCAGUGGAGACCGCCGGGGUCAACUCGGAGGAAGGUGGGGAUGACGUCAAGUCAUCAUGCCCCUUAUGUCCAGGGCUUCACGCAUGCUACAAUGGCUGGUACAGAGAGUGGCGAGCCUGUGAGGGUGAGCGAAUCUCGGAAAGCCGGUCUCAGUUCGGAUUGGGGUCUGCAACUCGACCUCAUGAAGUCGGAGUCGCUAGUAAUCGCAGAUCAGCAACGCUGCGGUGAAUACGUUCCCGGGGCU
rnacentral:rRNA from 1 species